AGCCCAGACUCCUACGGGAGGCAGCAGUGGGGGAUAUUGCACAAUGGGGGGAACCCUGAUGCAGCGACGCCGCGUGGGUGAAGAAGCGCCUCGGCGCGUAAAGCCCUGUCAGCAGGGAAGAAAAUGACGGUACCUGAAGAAGAAGCCCCGGCUAACUACGUGCCAGCAGCCGCGGUAAUACGUAGGGGGCAAGCGUUAUCCGGAUUUACUGGGUGUAAAGGGAGCGUAGGCGGCAGGGCAAGCCUGAUGUGAAAGCCCGGGGCUCAACCCCGGGACUGCAUUGGGAACUGCCCCGCUCGAGUGCCGGAGGGGCAGGCGGAAUUCCUAGUGUAGCGGUGAAAUGCGUAGAUAUUAGGAGGAACACCAGUGGCGAAGGCGGCCUGCUGGACGGUGUACUGACGCUGAGGCUCGAAAGCGUGGGGAGCGAACAGGAUUAGAUACCCUUGUA
rnacentral:rRNA from 1 species